ensembl:lncRNA
UCAUCACCUAUUAUCACGCAAACCUCCCUCCCUGCUGUCCGAUCAACCAGAUGGGUCCAUCCAUGUCGUCGUUCUGGAUCCCUCCUCUUUCUCUCCCCCUCCUCCCUUCCUCCCUCUCACUCCAUCACACUAAUGCACUGUGGCAGUCGGCUGCUGCGUUUCCUCCUGAAUUGUGGCCGAGAAGGGAGCUGAGGGCUGCAAAGAUCUGAUGGAGGCCUUCGCUGCUUGUGUGAAGAGCGCUGCCGAGGGGACGUCAUGAGGAGUCGCCCUCCAGCCUCCAAUGUCCACUGCACUGAGUCCUCCAAGUUCCCAGCAUUCCCUUCUGCACAACAGCACUGGACUGAAUGAUGACAACAACGAUGAUGAUGAUGAUGAUCGUAGCGCAACAUACACCGUGUUGAUUCGGGCUGAGUUUGGGAUCUGGCGGCAGUAACCACAGUUUCCUCCCCCCUCCUGUUUUAGGCUUAUCUGGUGUCCCUGUCUUACCGCCAUCCCUCUUCUCCCUCUACAGCUGACAUGCAGUACAUGGGCAAUUCCAGAGGGCCGAUGGGCUGUGAUGUAAAUUGUCGACUUGAAAUGAAUACUUAUAAAAGGAAAUAAAAGUAUCAAAAAAUUGGUAUAAUAAGAAUCUGUGGUUUCUGGACUCUUGUGUCACCAUUCUGAUGGUAGAUGUAGGAAAAAAGGAACACAGUCACGGUUUUGAGAGUACGGAUAUAUUUUAUCACCACUUGAAAUAGAUCUAAAGAAAA